GCCAUGAAGUGAGCAGUUUGAUCUACCAUGAACUCCCUGCCAUUACCAUCCAGCAUUCCCACCCAAGUUCAAAUCCAUGGGUCUAUCCUAUCUUGGACUGGAACCUCCAGAACAAUGAGGGUAUUUAACUGGCACUCAGAGAGUUGCCUUCUGGCUUUCAAAGUUCAGAGAGUGAGGACUAAGAGGAUCUGCUGGCUAAAUUGCAAAGGAUGAGACACUGCCCUUUAUGUUCCAUGACUUCUCUUUGCACACAAAGGAACACUUGUUCAAUCUCUCCAUCCAUUCAUCCAACCCUUGUUGAGCACCUGCUAUGUUGACAAUUCAUCCCAUGACCCUGGUGCCCUGGCAUCCAGGAUUUACAGAGCAACUGGUAGGAGCAAAGAAGAGGCCCAUGGCCACGAGGCAGUGAAACAAUCACCUGUUGUAGGAGUUGAGCGCCCAGUCAAGCAAGAGUCCUAGUCAACUGGGUUAACUGAUGGGCCCACCUCAAGUACUUCAGAAUUUUUUUCCCCCAAAACCAUCCUCUGCUGACUCUACGUUCAGUCCUGUAAUCGGUAUCUUAUUCUAACAAUGUGUGAGUGUCAAUGUCAUGGCCCAAGUUUCUUUUACUACUAAGACACGGGAUCUCAGGAAUGAUUACUAGAAUCCUUUGUCUUGAAUUACAGUUUAACUAACCUAUUGCAUCCCUGACAUUUGCCAUCUAAGUUUCCAAGUGUCCUCUGACCCCUCAUUUCACAGAACUGGUCUUCCCUUGACUUUCCAUUCUGGGUAUCUAGUCUAUUUCCUUGCAAUUUUUACUGCUCUUCCCAAGGUAUAAAGCCUGGGUGGAGGUCCUGGCAUGGACCUCCAUGAAAUACUGGGAUUCCAGAUAGCACUCACUCGAUUUUGUUAACCAUCCCUGACCACGAGUGAGGCCAUCCUGCUACUUCUGUCCUCUAACCUUGCUCAGUGACCUUGGUGCCAUGCCUGACUUCCUUGUCUGAACUUCUGUUGUCACUUUGGACUGUCCUAUUUCAGCAGCUCCACCCUGACUCCCAGUGUGUCUUGUGCCUUACUGAAAAGUCUUAAAAUCCGAUAGGGUGGAUAGUGCUGUUGCUGUUACUAUAUUGUCUUCCUGUUAGGAAAGCUAAGGCUCAGAGAUAUUGAGUGGCUGGGCCAAGUACAUAUCUAAUAACAGCAGAGCCAGACCUCAAGCUUGGACUCCUGUCUCUAAGUGGUUUGAUCUUUGCCCAAAUGCUAUAUAUGCUAUUUUGCUCUAAAAAUCUUAAGGAUGGGUUUUAAGAUUUAAAUGUGAUUAAAAAAACUGUAAAUGUUCAGGACAUAAAUGUCUUGUUGUGAUUAUCAACAGUCAAUGGGCUUCCUCCAGUUUGUAGUAAUGUGUUUCUUCUGGAUGUGUCCAGGGUCUUUGAAACAGAAAAGCUGCUACUCUCUGAAGCCUGCACAUGGGUGGGAACUUAUAGCAAUGUCUACAGAUGCCAGGUGUGAACAAGUCACAUUCCAAAAGUUCAUUUGUGGUCAUGUAGAAUGGAGGCCUCAUUUUCCCAAACAGAUAGUUCUAUAAAUGGUGGUUAGAUUCUUGGGCUGGCCUACAACAGCUGUUUAACUGAUGAUGCAGCUGGAGCACAUUUCUUAUUCACCGAGUACUGAAGUAAUGUAUUUAUUAUGCUCUUGCAACAUAAUAAUCAAGUUCCUGAUCAAAUAAGAAUGUUUGUUUUCA